ensembl:lncRNA
AGUUUGUGACGCGGGCUAAGUCAUGUGACGCGAGCUAAGUCAUGUGACGCGGGCUAAGUCAUGUGACGCGGGCUAAGUCAUGUGACGCGAGCUAAGUCAUGUGACGCGGGCUAAGUCAUGUGACGCGGGCUAAGUCAUGUGACGCGGGCUAAGUCAUGUGACGCGGGCUAAGUCAUGUCUACUGUUUUUCUAGAUCAGUGUUUCCCAACUCCUCCUGUUCCCCCAACAGAACACAUUCUAAACCAGUGUUUCCCAACUCCUCCUUGUUUCCCAACAGAACACAUUCUAAACCAGUGUUUCCCAACUCCUCCUGUUCCCCCAACAGAACACAUUCUAAACCAGUGUUUCCCAACUCCUCCAACAGAACACAUUCUAAACCAGUGUUUCCCAACUCCCCCAACAGAACACAUUCUAAACCAGUGUUUCCCAACUCCUCCUGUUCCCCCAACAGAACACAUUCUAAACCAGUGUUUCCCAACUCCCCCAACAGAACACAUUCUAAACCAGUGUUUCCCAACUCCCCCAACAGAACACAUUCUAAACCAGUGUUUCCCAACUCCCCCAACAGAACACAUUCUAAAC